rnacentral:rRNA from 1 species
GGUAUGGGAUGAGCUUGCGUCCGAUUAGCUAGUUGGCGGGGCAACGGCCCACCAAGGCGACGAUCGGUAGCCGGCCUGAGAGGGUGAUCGGCCACAUUGGGACUGAGAUACGGCCCAGACUCCUACGGGAGGCAGCAGUAGGGAAUAUUGCACAAUGGGGGGAACCCUGAUGCAGCAACGCCACGUGUGGGAAGAAGCAUUUCGGUGUGUAAACCACUGUCAUGGGGGAAUAAGGCCUAUUUUCGGAUAGGAUUGAAUGUACCUUGAGAGGAAGCACCGGCAAACUUCGUGCCAGCAGCCGCGGUAAUACGAGGGGUGCAAGCGUUGUUCGGAAUUACUGGGCGUAAAGGGAGCGUAGGCGGAGAUUCAAGCGGAUUGUACAAUCCCGGGGCCCAACCCCGGCUCUGCAGUCCGAACUGGAUCUCUUGGAUAGUUCAGGGGCAGGC